rnacentral:rRNA from 1 species
UACGUAGGGGGCAAGCGUUGGUCCGGAAUUACUGGGCGUAAAGCGUGCGCAGGCGGUUUCUUAAGUCAGAUGUGAAAGCCCCGGGCUUAACCUGGGAACUGCGUUUGAAACUGGGAGACUUGAGUGUGGCAGAGGGGGGUGGAAUUCCACGUGUAGCAGUGAAAUGCGUAGAGAUGCGGAGGAACACCGAUGGCGAAGGCAGCCCCCUGGGCUAGCACUGACGCUCAGGCACGAAAGCGUGGGGAGCAAACAGG